GACGAACGCUGGCGGCGUGCUUAACACAUGCAAGUCGAGCGGUAAGGCCCUUUCGGGGGUACACGAGCGGCGAACGGGUGAGUAACACGUGGGUGACCUGCCCUCAGCUCUGGGAUAAGCCCGGGAAACUGGGUCUAAUACCGGAUAUGACUCCAUGACGCAUGUUGUGGGGUGGAAAGCCUUGUGCGGCUGAGGAUGGGCCCGCGGCCUAUCAGCUUGUUGGUGGGGUGAUGGCCACCAAGGCGACGACGGGUAGCCGGCCUGAGAGGGCGACCGGCCACACUGGGACUGAGAUACGGCCCAGGACUCCUACGGGAGGCAGCAGUGGGGAAUCUUGCGCAAUGGGCGAAAGCCUGACGCAGCGACGCCGCGUGAGGGA
rnacentral:rRNA from 1 species